AUUGAACGCUGGCGGCAUGCCUUACACAUGCAAGUCGAACGGCAGCACGGGGCAACCUGGUGGCGAGUGGCGAACGGGUGAGUAAUGCAUCGGAACGUACCUUUCAGUGGGGGAUAACGUAGCGAAAGUUACGCUAAUACCGCAUAUUCUGUGAGCAGGAAAGCAGGGGAUCGCAAGACCUUGCGCUGAUUGAGCGGCCGAUGUCAGAUUAGCUAGUUGGUGAGGUAAAGGCUCACCAAGGCGACGAUCUGUAGCGGGUCUGCGAGGAUGAUCCGCCACACUGGAACUGAGACACGGUCCAGACUCCUGCGGGAGGCAGCAGUGGGGAAUUUUGGACAAUGGGGGCAACCCUGAUUCAGCCAUGCCGCGUGAGUGAAGAAGGCCUGCGGGUUGUAAAGCUCUUUCGGCCGGGAAGAAAUCGCACGGGCUAAUACCCUGUGUGGAUGACGGUACCGGAAUAAGAAGCACCGGCUAACUACGUGCCAGCAGCCGCCGUAACAC
rnacentral:rRNA from 1 species